CACGUAGGGGGCGAGCGUUGUCCGGAUUUAUUGGGCGUAAAGAGCUCGUAGGUGGUUUGUCGCGUUGUUCGUGAAAACUCACAGCUUAACUGUGGGCGUGCGGGCGAUACGGGCAGACUAGAGUACUGCAGGGGAGACUGGAAUUCCUGGUGUAGCGGUGGAAUGCGCAGAUAUCAGGAGGAACACCGGUGGCGAAGGCGGGUCUCUGGGCAGUAACUGACGCUGAGGAGCGAAAGCGUGGGGAGCGAACAGG
rnacentral:rRNA from 1 species